UUCAUUUAUAUGCAAUAUUUUUUAUUUUAAUGGUAUAAUUUUUCAUUCAAAUGGUAUAAUUUGUCAUUCAAAUGCAAUAUUUUUUAUUCAAUUUGUAUAACUUGUCAUUGUAAUGCAAUAUUUUUCAUUCAAUUGGUAUAAUUGUCGUUUUUUUAUUUAUAUGCAAUAAUUUUUAUUUAUAUGCAAUAAUUGCAUUAUGGGAAAUUGUUUGACGUCACAAGGUCAAAUUUGCAACAACGUUUGUGAUUGGUCGAUAUAGUCGGGCAGCCCCUGCUUGACUCACAUGUUGAAGUUGGCACGUUCUCUAUGAACUCCCCUGGUUUGAUUAGCUGUUGAUAUCUAUAUAUGAGAAGGUUUAUAUGAUGUCAGGUCAUAUAAAGGUUUCACAUAGUGAACUUUGUUAUGAUGCUGAGGUCUUAUUGCCACUUAAAGAAGAUGUUUUGGAGAGGGAGACACUCAAAUCACAGUUUCCUUCAGCAGUGGGUUUGAGGUACCAUGUAGGAGGGGUGUUGAAAGCUGUUGCAGCUGAUACAAGAGGGUUUUCUUCUCCAGAUGGAGGUUGGGGAACAAGAAGAUAUAUUGUUGUAACAACAGCAGAAUGUGCUGGACAAGCAAGAGAUAUCAUUGGCAACAGGCCAAGUACAAGUGGAUU